UUUUCGGCUAACCUGCUAUGUGCAGGGAUACUGGCACGGGAGAGGAUUAAAGCUGGUAACAAUAAAUAUUUGUCCGCGUUGAACGGAUUUUUAUUUGAAUGUAGAAUUGCUUAGAUUGUUACCUUUAUAUAUAUUUUAUUAGCUGGAUAUAUAUAUUUUAGCGUUGCUGGAUUGGAUAGGAAUGUGAGAUUUUUCGUUGUUUUAUAUAAAUUUAUUUUUACCUUUGACUUCUUCUUCUCUUUUAGUUUCGCUGUAGUAGUUUGCCGUUAGAACCGAAACUCAAUUCAUUUACCCCGAUGGAUUCUGUCGCCACGAUUUUCUUGCCUUUUGAGUUUAGCUAUCGAGGAUAAUUCUAACGAUCCUCUCUGUGUGGGACUCGUGUGAUUUCGCAAGCCUUGCCCAAAGACGGGUAAUAUUUUACCAACAGUGGGAGGAGGAAUGCGAAGAUCGAUGGGUGUUUUCGAUAAUCGAAAAGACCGUUUGCACAAGCCAACACAGCGAACGAUCCUUUGGUUAAAUUUUCGAAGGGAAAUUGUUCUGCUAUUUCUCUGUUACAAUCGCAUGCAACGAUGGCAAGAAUAUCGGUUAAUAGCAAUGCCGGUAUUGCUUUUAAUUUUCGAUUGACCCCGACGAUGUAUUUAAUAGUCCUUUCUGUGCGGGAUUUGUGUGAUUUCGCAAGCCUUGCCCAAAGACGGGCAAUAUUUUGCCAACAAUGGGAGGAGGAAUGCGAAGAUCAGUGGGUGUUUCAGUAGCUGAAAACACCGUUCGCACAAGCCGACACAGCGGACAAUUCCUUUGUUUAAAGUUUAAACAAUGAUUCUAUCUUCAAAACCAUUCACGAAAAUAAAACGAGAUCGAUGAUAGGAAGUUCUAAUUCGAUUCUCGAGGGCAACGAGAUUAUCAGAGAAGAAGGAAAUUUUCAAAAUUAAUUUUCUUACCUUGAGGAGUAGGUGCUGUCUGGUGCCAUUACCUCAGCUGCUCCGGUGGUCGUCGAAGUUUUUGUUGGGUUUAUUAUUUGAACUCGAAUAUAGUUUAUUAUCAACUCUUACUUUAUUUAUCUAUUUUAAUACAGACUGGGCAAUUUACUAACUGGAUUAAUACCGCAAUUACAAUGCGCGUUUGUGUCUAAACGAUAAAAUGAGGACUUCAAAGAUAAAAUCUUUCUUUUACUUAGUCGCGGUUCUCUUUUCUUGACCGAAAAACUAAAGACCCCGAAACGCAAAAUACUAUACAAAAUUUCUAAACGUAAUGAUGAGCGCAAUACCGAACGUAGUAACAAUGAACACAAAAUAUAAUGAACAAAGAAUAAUGAACGUAAUAAGAAUGUUCACCAGAAUAAUAAUGAGCCGUAAUAACAAAUGAUCACAAGAAUUAUGAACACAAAGAAUGAUUAAAAUAAUAAUGAGCACUAAGAAUGAACAAAAAUAAUGAGCGCUGCUCUAUGUUGCUUCGCUUAUUUAUAAUGCCAUCCCCCACGGGGUGGUGGUCAACUGGGGGUACGCUUCCGUGGGAAUCGGGAUGUUGCAGUUUGAGUUUCUUGGAAUCGUACGUGACAAAAUGUAAAUUCCAUAUUUCGACUUAGUUUCUAUCGGUCCUGUGUUUCUGCUGAGCUAGCGUCUAGGAGGCUUGAAGCAUUCCAUGCUGAUUUAGUCUUUUCCGCGAGAAACUUCUAAGUUUUGUACCGUGGGAAUUACCCGUGUUUCUUCGGCGCAUGCAAGGGCUGGCGGCCGCAGCAUCAUUAUCACUUCGAUGCUCGCUCGGGCAACACGCGCAACUCCGCUGCUCUCCCACAACAAGGACCUCCUUCUUUGAGUUAUUAUUCGCUUCGGUGAUCGACGUUCGGACAAUGUUUGCGGAGGCAUUUCCAUCACAGGUUCCUUAUUAUUAUUAUUUUUAGAUGUAUUUUGUUUUAUGUACGAUGUAUAUAUAUAUAUAUAUAUAUAUAUAUAUAUAUAUAUAUAUAUAUAUAUAUAUAUAUAUAUAUAUAUUUUAAAUGUGUUAUCAAUUUUGUGUUUGUUAAAUAUAUUUAAUUUUAUA